rnacentral:rRNA from 1 species
AACGAACGCUGGCGGCAGGCCUAACACAUGCAAGUCGAACGCCCCGCAAGGGGAGUGGCGCACGGGUGAGUAACGCGUGGGAAUAUGCACUUCGGUUCGGAAUAACACAGGGAAACUUGUGCUAAUACCGGAUACGAUCUACGGAUGAAAGAUUUAUCGCCGAGGGAGUAGCCCGCGUAGGAUUAGCUAGUUGGUGAGGUAAUGGCUCACCAAGGCGACGAUCCUUAGCUGGUCUGAGAGGAUGAUCAGCCACACUGGGACGGAGACACGGCCCAGACUCCUACGGGAGGCAGCAGUGGGGAAUAUUGGACAAUGGGCGAAAGCCUGAUCCAGCCAUGCCGCGUAAGUGAUGAAGGCCUUAGGGUUGUAAAGCUCUUUCGCCAGGGAAGAUAAUGACGGUACCUGGAAAAGAAGCCUCGGCUAACUCCGUGCCAGCCGCCGCGGUAA